CCUACGGGAGGCAGCAGUGAGGAAUAUUGGUCAAUGGGAGAGAUCCUGAACCAGCCAAGCCGCGUGAGGGAAGACGGCCCUAUGGGUUGUAAACCUCUUUUGUCGGAGAACAAAACCCGGGACGUGUCCCGGACUGCGUGUAUCCGAAGAAAAAGCAUCGGCCAAGUCCGUGCCAGCAGCCGCGGUAAUACGGAGGAUGCGAGCGUUAUCCGGAUUUAUUGGGUUUAAAGGGUGCGUAGGCGGUCCGUUAAGUCAGCGGUAAAAUGGCGGGGUUCAACCCCGUCGAGCCGUUGAAACUGGCAGACUUGAGUUGGCGAGAAGUACGCGGAAUGCGCGGUGUAGCGGUGAAAUGCAUAGAUAUCGCGCAGAACUCCGAUUGCGAAGGCAGCGUACCGGCGCCAGACUGACGCUGAGGCACGAAAGCGUGGGGAUCGAACAGGAUUAGAUACCCGAGUAGUC
rnacentral:rRNA from 1 species